CCUACGGGUGGCAGCAGUGAGGAAUAUUGGUCAAUGGACGAGAGACUGAACCAGCCAAGUAGCGUGAAGGAUGACGGCCCUAUGGGUUGUAAACUUCUUUUAUGUGGGGAUAAAAUGUGCCACGUGUGGGAUUUUGUAUGUACCAUAUGAAUAAGGACCGGCUAACUCCGUGCCAGCAGCCGCGGUAAUACGGAGGGUGCGAGCGUUAAUCGGAAUUAUUGGGCUUAAAGGGCUCGUAGGCGGUAUGUCAAGUCAGCGGUGAAAUCCCCGGGCUCAACGUUGGAACUGCCGUGGAAACUGGCAAACUUGAGUGUGCGAGAGGAUAGUGGAAUUCGAGGUGUAGCGGUGAAAUCCUUAGAUAUCUCGAGGAACAUCAGUUGCGAAGGCAACUAACGGGCACGUGACUGACGCUGAGGCGCGAAAGCGUGGGUAGCAAACAGGAUUAGAUACCCUUGUAGUC
rnacentral:rRNA from 1 species